GAUGAACGCUGGCGGUCUGCUUAACACAUGCAAGUCGAACGGUUGUAGAAAUACGAUAGUGGCGGACGGGUGAGUAACGCGUGAGAAUCUACCAUUAGGUCGGGGACAACCAUUGGAAACGAUGGCUAAUACCGGAUAAGCCGGAAGGUAAAAGAUUAAUUGCCUAAUGAAGAGCUCGCGUCUGAUUAGCUAGUUGGUGAGGUAAAAGCUCACCAAGGCAUCGAUCAGUAGCUGGUCUGAGAGGAUGACCAGCCACACUGGGACUGAGACACGGCCCAGACUCCUACGGGAGGCAGCAGUGGGGAAUUUUCCGCAAUGGGCGAAAGCCUGACGAAGCAAGACCGCGUGAGGGAGGAAGGCUCUUGGGUUGUAAACCUCUUUUCUUGGGGAGGAACAAAAUGACGGUACCCAAGGAAUCAGCAUCGGCUAACUCCGUGCCAGCAGCCGCGGUAAUACGGAGGAUGCAAGCGUUAUCCGGAAUUAUUGGGCGUAAAGCGUCCGCAGGUGGCACUUCAAGUCUGCUGUCAAAGACCGGGGCUUAACCCUGGAAAGGCAGUGGAAACUGAAGAGCUAGAGUGUCGUAGGGGUAGAGGGAAUUCCUGGUGUAGCGGUGAAAUGCGUAGAGAUCACGAAGACAUCGGUGGCGAAAGCGCUCUACUGGACGACAACUGACACUCAGGGACGAAAGCUAGGGGAGCGAAUGGAUUAGAUACCCCAGUAGUCCUAGCCGUAAACGAUGGAUACUAUGUGUGGCUUG
rnacentral:rRNA from 1 species